rnacentral:misc_RNA from 1 species
UCGAUGCCUUACAUGCAGACCAACUCGUGAAUCUGUUUGAAUACACGGGGAUGGCUCGGGGUGUUCGGCACCACGGCCUCCCUUUGGGUAGGAGGGGCGCGCAUUGCGUUCCCCUCCUUCCCGAACACAAACCCCGGCGCUGAAUGCGCCAAGGAACAAAAAUUCGAUCAGUCGCCCCGUCGGCCCGGAGACGGUGCUCCGGCGGUGGUGCCUUGACACAUGAUACAUAAUGACUCUCGGCAACGGAUAUCUAGGCUCUUGCAUCGAUGAAGAACGUAGCGAAAUGCGAUACUUGGUGUGAAUUGCAGAAUCCCGUGAACCAUCGAGUCUUUGAACGCAAGUUGCGCCCGAAGCCAUUUGGUUGAGGGCACGUCUGCCUGGGCGUCACAUAUCGUUGCCCGAUGCCUAUUGCACUGCGAUAGGAAUUUCUAGGGCGAAAGAUGGCUUCCCGUGAGCAUUGUUGCCUCGCGGUUGGUUGAAAACCGAGUCCUUGGUAGGGUGUGCCAUGAUAGAUGGUGGUCGAGUUUGCACGAGACCGAUCAUGUGUGCGCUCUCCAAAAUAUGGACUCUUUGACCCCACACGCGUCUUUUGACGCUCAU